rfam:Bacilli bacterium VT-13-104 contig073, whole genome shotgun sequence.
AAAACCUUUAAUUGGGUCCAGAGAGGCCAAAAGGGUGCACGGAAUAGAAGUAUGCUUUCUUAUGCCCUUUUGUCUCUGAGACAAAAGGGCAUUUUUAAU